rnacentral:rRNA from 1 species
AACACGUAGCUAAUCUACUCUUAGGUGGGGGAUAAACUUGCGAAAGUGAGGCUAAUACCCCAUAGCUGUUAGAUGCUGGAAUGCGCUAACAAUUAAAGCUCAGGCGCCUAAGAAUGGGGCUGCGGCGUAUCAGAUAGUUGUGAGUUUAAAAUACUCACAAGUCUAUAACGCGUAGGGGCCAUGAGAGUGGGAGCCUCGAGAUGCCUUCUGAGACAUGAAGGCAGGUCCUACGGGACGCAGCAGGCGCGAAAACUUUCCAAUUCAUUAACGUGUGAGAAGGGAACCUUGAGUGGCUAUACAUUGUAUAGCCUUUUCUUUAGCCUAAAAAGCUAGAGGAAUAAGUGGUGGGUAAGACAGGUGCCAGCCGCCGCGGUAAUACCUGCGCCACGAAUAGUGAUCACGAUUAUUGGGUCUAAAGCGUCCGUAGCCGGUUUAGCAAGUUCCUGGUGAAAUCUGGCAGCAAACUGUCAGGCAUGCUGGGAAUACUACUAAACUUGAGAUCGGGAGAGGUUGGAGGUAUUCCAUGGGUAGGGGUUAAAUCCUUUAAUCCAUGGAGGACCACCUGUGGCGAAGGCGUCCAACUGGAACGAGUCUGACGGUGAGGGACGAAAGCGUGGGGAGCAAAUUUAAUCUAUUGACGUUAAGAAUGAUAGAUUAAAGCUUUAUAGCGGAUUAUAUACCCGUGUAGUCCACGCUGC